rnacentral:rRNA from 1 species
UAGUUGGUAAGGUAACGGCUUACCAAGGCGACGAUCAGUAGCCGACCUGAGAGGGUGAUCGGCCACAUUGGAACUGAGACACGGUCCAAACUCCUACGGGAGGCAGCAGUGGGGAAUAUUGCACAAUGGGCGAAAGCCUGAUGCAGCAACGCCGCGUGAGUGAUGAAGGCCUUCGGGUCGUAAAACUCUGUCCUCAAGGAAGAUAAUGACGGUACUUGAGGAGGAAGCCCCGGCUAACUACGUGCCAGCAGCCGCGGUAAUACGGAGGGGGCUAGCGUUAUCCGGAUUUACUGGGCGGAUAGGGUGCGUAGGCGGUCUUUCAAGUCAGGAGUGAAAGGCUACGGCUCAACCGUAGUAAGCUCUUGAAACUGGGAGACUUGAGUGCAGGAGAG